UAUGUGAUCGUCUCUCGCAUAUCAAUAAGCGGAGGAAAAGAAACUAACGAGGAUUCCCCUAGUAACGGCGAGUGAAGCGGGAAGAGCUCAAAUUUGAAAUCUUAAAGGGUUUCCCUUUACGAAUUGUAGUUUAAAGAAGUGUUUUCUGUUGAGGUUUUGGUAAAAGUUCUUUGGAAUAGGACAUCAUAGAGGGUGAGAAUCCCGUAUUUGACCUUUACUUUCAACUUUGUGAUACACUUUCAAAGAGUCGGAUUGUAUUGGGAAUGCAGUCCAAAAUGGGUGGUAAAUUUCAUCUAAAGCUAAAUAUUGGCGAGAGACCGAUAGCGAACAAGUACCGUGAGGGAAAGAUGAAAAGAACUUUGAAAAGAGAGUUAAACAGUACGUGAAAUUGUCAAAAGGGAAGCGUUUGACACCAGUGUUGUUUUUCUGAAAAUCAAUUAAAGAACUGUUUAUGCUAAGCUGUUUAGACUUUAUCAGCUAUCUGUUUAGUUUUAGGCUUUUCUUUAAUGCACUUUUCAGUUAACAAGUCAACAUCAAUUUCUUUUGCUGUAAAAAAGCUUGAGGAAGGUGGCUUGAGAUUCGUCUUAAGUGUUUAUAGCCUCUUGCCUAUGCAGUCGGAGAGAUUGAGGUCUGCAGCGUAGAUCCUUCGGGGCUAAAUGCAUUUGUGCUAAGUUAUAGCAUUUUAUAGACAACUUGUUGACUAUGAUUUGUCUUGUAGCUUACUCGCUUAUGUUAUUUUACCUACGCUUAGGAUGUUGAUCUACAGAGCGAGAGU
rnacentral:rRNA from 1 species